ensembl:lncRNA
AGGAAUUUGAUCAUGUAUUUUGAGCCUGACAUAUAAUGACCUGACCAUGCAUCUACUCAAACCCAACUCUUAUAACUGCUGCCAAUUCGAGGAUGAUUUAAAGUAGUUAGCAAGUUUUCUCUGCCAAGCUCUAUGUAUCUGUAAUUAUAUGCAGAUGGGUGGACUGAUGAGUGCUGAGUCGCUGGUGUGGUUUAUGGUUUAACAUUGACCAAGCAGCCAGAUGCAAUGUGAAGGAUGUGGUUUUCGGACAUGAACUUCAUAUCAUUAUGGGAAAGAGUAUGAUGUUUUCUCUUUUUCUAUCCUGAUUUACAACAAUCUGAAUUUUCCUUUCUACAGAUGUAGUGAGACCAAUUAUGUCCUGAAGGAAUAUGUUCGGGCCCAAGCUGCGCCUGACAACAGAGCCACACCACAGCUGGCCACUACAGACAAACUCCCUGAACCAAACCCCCUAACAUACACAAAAAAAAAACACAACCGAUCCGGCCUGGUCCAGCACUAUCAAGACAUUCUGCAAAAGCUGGUAAGCCUCCAGCAAUCUUCAAGAGCCAUAACAAUGUCUGGCAGAUAGAGCUGCAUUUUGUCAACAGUUGCCAGCAUGGAUCAGCUUUGCAUGCCCUUGAUCUGGCGCUAAUAUGAGGCUGACACUUUUGUAACAAGACAAUGGAUUGUGUACACAUACAAACAUGCUUUCUUAUCGCUGCAAGUGUAUAUGGAGACAGAAGUACACAAUACGCAAUUAGUGAUCAACACCUGUUAAAGGGCCAGUUCACCUAAACAUGAAAACUUUCAUUUAUUCACCUUCAGGUUGUUUCACACAAAAUAAGAUAUUUUGAAGGGUGUUUCAACUCGUUUUGCUUAUACAAUGAAAGUAAUACAAUGGGUAAUACAAUUUUUUCUUUCUUUUUUUUUUAUUUGGGUGAAUUGUCCCUUUAACUGAAGCCAUGAAGUUCAGUGCUUUGAAAAUUGUAAUAAUUUUAACUGAGUGCAAAUAGCCAACCUUGCUGACAAAGGGAUUUUUCCACUAACUCCACCCACUGUUUCUCUGAUGUUUUACUUUUAUUAUAAAUAGCAUAUUACUUAUUUAUACUUUGUGUUAACCACAUAUAUCACUACUUGCAAUUAGUGUAAACAAGAUGCAGUGCAUUUUGUUGCUAUUUAUACUUGCUGUUUACACUGUAUAAUUAGCACCUACCUUUUUUUGCACAUAAAUUUCAGCCACAUUUACUGUUCAGUGAACUUUCAC